GACGAAGGAUGCAAGCGUUAUCCGGAUUCAUUGGGUUUAAAGGGUGCGUAGGCGGCCCGGUAAGUCAGUGGUGAAAUCUCCUUGCUUAACAAGGAAACUGCCAUUGAUACUGCUGGGCUUGAGUACAGAUGCUGUGGGCGGAAUAUGACAUGUAGUGGUGAAAUACAUAGAGAUGUCAUAGAACACCGAUUGCGAAGGCGGCUCACAAAACUGUAACUGACGCUGAGGCACGAAAGUGCGGGGAUCAAACAGG
rnacentral:rRNA from 1 species